CUGCUAACUUGCUUCCCAUUUACCAGUCUCAGGUACACAAUCCUUCCCGUAAAAAAAAUACACAUUCUUGAUCCUUUGCCUGCUGUUUGAGCACACUAUAUGAAUACCUUCCUGGUCUCCUUAUAUGUACACAAAUAGAAGAUAUAAUAGGUGAAUAUGGGCAAGACCAAUAUAGACUUGGAAGGCUAUGAUGAAGAUGUUGAGAGCUGUAUGUUUUGUGGCGACGUAAGCAUGUUAGUUUACUUGUAGUAAAAUGGAAAAAAUGAAUGUUGCUAUCACCAUGAUGAUUACAUAGUUUUUUCCCACUUACCAAGAACAAUGGACAAGUUAAAAAUAUGUAUCAUAUCGAGAACCAAACCGUGCAAUUUGUGAAACACAAUUUGAUCUGUAUGAUCACAUAUAUCAAAAUUUACCAAGUGGUUAUCAUGUUUUGGAGGCAGUACUCAAUUGCCGACAUUAAAGGGUAAAAAGGUUUCAAUACGACAAACCAAGAUUUUGAAUCAUGUGAAUACUACUAAGCUUUUUCUGCUCCUUUAUAUGGAAACAUAACACCAUGGUAUGGAAAAUAGCUUAAUUAAGCCUAUUUGUCUCAUGCAUGCUUCAACACCUUGUUUUCUAAUCUAAAUCAUGAUUUUGCUUAACUUCGCUUCAGCUUGGAUAUCUAUGCUGGUAACUUUUGCUAGCCAUCAAGGAAUUUUGCAUGCAUGUCAAGGUUGCAGUUUGGAGAUUAGCAAACUUCAGUUGCUUAAAAGGCAUGAUGGCGGAUGAUCAGUGUGCCCAGACUUUCCUGCAUCGUCCAAUAUACUAGAGACGAAGUCUAACAAGAAAUCAAGGACCUCGUGAGUACUAUUUAGGCAGUCGGCCUCAUCAAUUAGUCAUGCCAAUGAGAUAUCAAGCCCUCGAUUCCAACGGGGCUACGGACAAAAAAGGUCCUUUCAAGAUUCUAUUUCCCCUUGGGUCUAUCAAGCUGAACAGUUCGUGGGGAUAUAAGAAGAUCACACUUAGACAACUGUCUACACUACCUCUUUAAUGAUCCGGAUUCCAUGACGCGUAAUUCAUCUGUCCAUAUAUAUUACUAAUUUCAUAUUCAUCACCACGGGCAAGGAGAAGUCGUCGUGUUAUCCUUCAUACCCUUGAAAGAACCAUAGAGGGCAUCGCUUCCUACCAGGCAGAUGCCUUUCAUUCAUCCAAAAUUGCAGCACAAGAGCUCGAUGAUGAAGCCUGAAGAAAACCUGCACCUAGCGAAGUG